AUUAACCUGCGGCAUCUUUCCAUCAGUCGACGGUACAGGGACUGCUCCGCUCAGUGGCGAACGGGUAGUAUAUAUCGGAACGGUACCCAAGAGUGGGGGAUAACGUAGCGAAAGUUCGCUAAUCCUCAUCCGAUCCAAGGAUAAAGCAGGGGACCUUCGGGCCGUGUGCUCCUGGAGCGGCCGAUAUCUGAUUAGCUAGUUGGUGAGGUAAAGGCUCACCAAGGCGACGAUCAGUAGCUGGUCUGAGAGGACGACCAGCCACACUGGAACUGAGACACGGUCCAGACUCCUACGGGAGGCAGCAGUGGGGAAUUUUGGACAAUGGGCGCAAGCCUGAUCCAGCAAUGCCGCGUGAGUGAAGAAGGCCUUCGGGUUGUAAAGCUCUUGUGUCAGGGAAGAAACGGCAGGGGCUAAUAUCCUUUGCUAAUGGCG
rnacentral:rRNA from 1 species